rnacentral:lncRNA from 1 species
CCGGAUUCCAGGGGUGUGACCCGGGCCUCAUGUUUCCUCAUCUGUAGAACAGGAAUGACAAUAACACCUGCCUGACAGGAUUGUCAAGAGGAUCAAAUGAGGUAGUGUGAAAGUGCAAAAAAAAAAAAAAAGAAGAAGGCAGUUGCCCUAAUUAUUAGUGCUACGUAUCUAAUUAUUGUCUUAAUUACAAUGGAGCACGGGCUUGGGUUCGAGGACGCAGAAGGCUUGGCCCUGCGCACAAAGAUCUUGUGCACAGAAGCAAAUGACUGCGGCCGUCAGCGCUCACAAACAGCCCCAGGAGCUCCAAGCCUCUUGGGAGAAGUCAGUGCUUUCCAAGCGGCGCUGCAUCACGGUGGCGGGCUGAGCGCCCCUCCAUCAGUCAGAUCCCUGCGACCGGAGGAAAGCGGGAGAAGAGGGCGCUGGCAGUGUCCUUCGGCCGGCGGGGAAGUGGCUGGACCCCCGCACGGCCGGCGGCACUGGCUCCCCAGCUGACGCCCCAGCAAACCGCGGGGUUGGGGGGAGGAACUCGGCCGCAUCCGCACGUGGAGGUCAGCCGAGUGGGACUUCAGAACGAGCAGAUUCGAAUCUGUCGGCUAGGAAUCUCUGUGACUGGGCUCCCGCCUUCUCUCCAUGACUUUUGAUUUUCCGAGCACCUCCCAGCUGCCUGAACUUGUUUUCCCACCUGUAAUAAAUAGUUGUUAAAAUUACAUGAAAAUAUAGUAAAGAACUUGCUAAUUAUUCAAUAAAUAGCAGCUGUUAUUGCCACCGUCAUAGUCAGCAGCACUGCCGCAUCAUCUGUGGAUGGCCGAGUCAGCCCUGCCCCAUCCCGCGCCAGCCCACACCACCCAGCCGAGUCCCAGGCUCUCUAGCUCCACCGUCUGGGAGGGGACUGCCGUGAGCAUUUCUGCGUGAGAAACCAGGAGCCGGGGUGCCAGGGGUCAGAACCGGCGGCAGCUUUCAUGUCAUAGUUCCCACAUCCUUCUUCCCCUUGCUCCUCAUGCUCCAUGCUGAUCCUUCAAAGAACUGAAUUUCUGCGGUUUCUGGGCCGAGCACUCUCGUCCCAACGAGGACUCCAGGCACUGGCCGGUCCCAACCCAGGCAACCUGCGUGGCUCUGCUUCCGGCAUCUCAGUGGUUCUCGAGAGGGAGAUGCUAUCCUCCUACGGCAAUUGGAACACGGCGGGGGCAUUUUCAUCACAGCGAAGGGGUGCCCUACUGGUACUGCGUGGGAUUGGCCAGUGAUGGAAUAGGCCUGCACGACAAAGAAUUGUCUUGCAUAACUUUCAAAUGUCCCGCAGGACGUUCAUGUACAGACGGGAAAAAUGCCAAUCCCAGAGAGUUGCUGCAUCCAACAUGAUGCCACCCAGGGGGUGAGUUACAAAGGGCCGAAUGCAGGGCCUAGUUAGAGAGAGGAUAGAGACAGUCCCACUCUGCACGUGUUUCUAGGCCCCUGUGUGGCAUAGAAAAGGUCCUGAUGGUCCUGUGUGCUCCUGGUGGAGAAUGUAAGGUUAGCUGAGCAGAGCCAGGAGACCGCCUAUGGGGCUGCCUGGGGCAGCUGUGACCCUACAGCAGAGGCUGUGGGAAUGUAGGAGAAUGUUGUCAAGAUUCAGAGCAUUUGCAAAGCCAGCGAGAGCCAGAGAGAGCCAAGAUGGCAGAACUGGGAGGAGAGGCACAAGCAGUGUGCCCGUGACGAAGAUGGACGAGAAACUUUGACUCUUGCAUAAGGACCACACUGGGGUCUGAGAGUCUCCUCCGGGGCAAAGCUCCUGUAAGCUUUUCCCUACAACAACUGAAGGGCAAGUGGGGGUGGGAGCAGGGCAGAAAUCCUGAAAGAUGCAAGAGACUAAAGUAAACCAAAAAAAACAGUGUUAAACUGGAAAAGAUGGAGAUAUAUUUAGCUGGCAAGUCUGUACACCCUUCUUCUCCAACCUCUGCUCUUUUCCACUUCAAGGAAAAGCGGAGUAAUGGUUAUAGAAAGCAAAGGAGUAAACUUUUCUGGCCCCCUGAACGCAUGGGACAGGGUUUUCAACCCACUACACCAUGUGUGUGAUUGCUGCUGACUUCUCUAGGACUUUGACUCACCCACUUUUGCCAGACGUCUCCGAACUUCUUUGUAGGUAAAUAAAAUCAAGAGAGAGGGUCGUUAUUCCCUGGAGUCUUGAUUUAAGACGGUUUAUGCUCUGUGGUACGCAGUUGCUUCGCUCACUAAUCAUGUAAUGUAUCCUAAUAAUACCAUGCGAGUACCAUUUUGAUUUUUUGUUUACUUAUUUUAAUGGGCUAACAUAGGAGGUGGCAAACUUUUUCAAAGAACCAGAUAGUAAAUAUUUUAGGCUUUGUGGGCCACUUGAUUCCUGCUACAGCUCUUCAGUUUUGCUCUUGUAGCACAAAAGCAGCCAUAGACAACAUGUCAAGGCAUGGAUGUGGCUGAGUUCCAAUAAAAUUUUAUUGCUGGACACCAAAAUUUGAAUUUUAUAUAAUUUGCUCACGAGACAAAAUCUUCUUCUUCUUUUCAUUUUUUUCUCC